UCUUGAUGUAAUACAAUUGAAGGACUCCUUUGAAGAAGGUGCUAACUCUUUCUAUAUUUUGAGAUAAUUCGAUUCUCAUGCAUUUCCUUAUGUCAUCCUGAUUUUUUGAUGCUGCAAAUAAUUAGUUCGGUAAGAAAAACUAAAAUCUUCCAGGUGCAGUAGUAUUACUAUAAGUAUGACAUAUUCGUUCUUUCUUCAUCACUCCACUUAUUUCGAUCAUCGAAGAAAAUACAGAAUACAAGGCACUUCCCACCUGUAAAUAUUUAUAUUAGUCAAUCAAGACGUUUGUAUAUUUUCUAGACCAGGCAUAGCCAACAAGUCGCUUGCGAUCGACCGGUAGAUUGCAGCAUCAAUUUUAGUCUAUUGAGAAUACUAUGGCCUUUUAAAACACGAAAAAUAUUUGUAAUUUCUACGAGAAUAUAAAUUCCAAAUUUUCCACCACAAAAUUUUAAAACCGUCGCUUGGGUUAUACAAUAAGUACUGUGCUGAAUUCUGUGUGGUUAUCUAAUUGGGACUAUGUGAAAAGAACACGUGCAGAACAGGUAGCCUAUACGAGGAAAUGGAACGCGCUGUUUGGUCGUAUCUAGAUUAUGUUGUUAUUUUAUAAAUUGGUUUUUUGUGCCCAAAAGAAUUUCAGUUAUGUGCGAAAAAGUGUACUAAAGCGAAAUUCAUAAUUUGUACUGUAUGAGGAAUGAAAAUAAAAUUGUUUUAUAUAUGGAGAAAGAUAAAUGCUGCUGUUUAUUUAAUCUUUGGAGCCUUUAUCAAAA